CAGGGAUUGCCCUAGUAACGGCGAGUGAAGCGGCAUCAGCUCAAAUUUGAAAUCUGGCUCUUUCAGAGUCCGAGUUGUAAUUUGCAGAGGGCGCUUUGGUGUCGGCAGCGGUCCAAGUUCCUUGGAACAGGACGUCACAGAGGGUGAGAAUCCCGUACGUGGUCGCUGACCUACACCGUGUAAAGCCCCUUCGACGAGUCGAGUUGUUUGGGAAUGCAGCUCUAAAUGGGAGGUAAAUUUCUUCUAAAGCUAAAUACUGGCCAGAGACCGAUAGCGCACAAGUAGAGUGAUCGAAAGAUGAAAAGCACUUUGGAAAGAGAGUCAAACAGCACGUGAAAUUGUUGAAAGGGAAGCGCUUGCAGCCAGACUUGCUUGUAGUUGCUCAUCCGGGCUUUUGCCCGGUGCACUCUUCUGCGAGCAGGCCAGCAUCAGUUUGGACGGUUGGAUAAAGGCCUCUGUCACGUACCUUCUCUCGGGAAGGCCUUAUAGGGGAGGCGUCAUGCAACCAGUCUGGACUGAGGUCCGCGCAUCUGCUAGGAUGCUGGCGUAAUGGCUGUAAGCGGCCCGUCUUGAAACACGGACCAAGGAGUCUAACAUCUAUGCGAGUGUUUGGGUGUCAAGCCCGAGCGCGUAAUGAAAGUGAACGGAGGUGGGAUCCCGCAAGGGUGCACCAUCGACCGAUCCUGAUGUCUUCGGAUGGAUUUGAGUAAGAGCAUGGCUGUUGGGACCCGAAAGAUGGUGAACUAUGCUUGAAUAGGGUGAAGCCAGAGGAAACUCUGGUGGAGGCUCGCAGCGGUUCUGACGUGCAAAUCGAUCGUCAAAUUUGGGCAUAGGGGCGAAAGACUAAUCGA
rnacentral:rRNA from 1 species